UACGUAGGGUGCAAGCGUUUAUCCGGAAUUAUUGGGCGUAAAGAGCUCGUAGGCGGUUUGUCGCGUCUGCUGUGAAAACUGGGGGCUCAACUCCCAGCCUGCAGUGGGUACGGGCAGACUAGAGUGCGGUAGGGGAGAUUGGAAUUCCUGGUGUAGCGGUGGAAUGCGCAGAUAUCAGGAGGAACACCGAUGGCGAAGGCAGAUCUCUGGGCCGUAACUGACGCUGAGGAGCGAAAGCAUGGGGAGCGAACAGGG
rnacentral:rRNA from 1 species